rfam:Ailuropoda melanoleuca scaffold33_133, whole genome shotgun sequence.
ACCUGGCUGGCUCAGUCGGUAAAGCAUGUGACUCUUGAUCUCAGGGCCAUGAGUUCAAGCUCCAUGUGGGGUG